AUUGAACGCUGGCGGCAUGCCUUACACAUGCAAGUCGAACGGUAACAGCUCUUCGGAGGCUGACGAGUGGCGAACGGGUGAGUAAUACAUCGGAACGUGCCCGAUCGUGGGGGAUAACGGAGCGAAAGCUUUGCUAAUACCGCAUACGAUCUACGGAUGAAAGCAGGGGACCCUCGGGCCUUGCGCGAACGGAGCGGCCGAUGGCAGAUUAGGUAGUUGGUGGGAUAAAAGCUUACCAAGCCGACGAUCUGUAGCUGGUCUGAGAGGACGACCAGCCACACUGGGACUGAGACACGGCCCAGACUCCUACGGGAGGCAGCAGUGGGGAAUUUUGGACAAUGGGCGAAAGCCUGACCAGCAAUGCCGCGUGCAGGAUGAAGGCCUUCGGGUUGUAAACUGCUUUUGUACGGAACGAAAAGUCUCGGGAUAAUACCCUGGGACC
rnacentral:rRNA from 1 species